UACGGAGGGUGCAAGCGUUACUCGGAAUCACUGGGCGUAAAGGGCGUGUAGGCGGGGACGCAAGUCAGAUGUGAAAACCACGGGCCCAACCUGUGGCCUGCAUUUGAAACUGUGUUUCUUGAGUACUGGAGAGGCAGACGGAAUUCCUAGUGUAGCGGUGAAAUGCGUAGAUAUUAGGAGGAACACCAGUGGCGAAGGCGGUCUGCUGGACAGCAACUGACGCUGAGGCGCGAAAGCGUGGGGAGCAAAAAGG
rnacentral:rRNA from 1 species